rfam:Oryza sativa Japonica Group DNA, chromosome 9, cultivar: Nipponbare, complete sequence.
CAAAAAAAAAACCAUGGGUUUUCGUGUCCAACGUUUGACUGUCCGUUUUAUAUAAAUUUUUUUUAUAAUUAGUAUUUUCAUUGGUGUUAGAUGAUAAAAUAUGAUUAAUAUUUUAUGCAUGACUCGUCUUUUUAAUUUUUUUAAUAAUUUUUUCAAAUAAGACGGACAGUCGAACAUUGGACACGGAAAUUCAGGGUUUGUCUUUUU